UGGAUCCAGACUUUGAUUCUGGCUCAGGACGAACGCUGGCGGCACGCUUAACACAUGCAAGCCGAACGGAGAACAUUGAGCUUGCUUAAUGUUCUUAGUGGCGGACGGGUGAGUAACACGUGAGUAACCUGCCUCUGAGAGUGGGAUAGCUUCUGGAAACGGAUGGUAAUACCGCAUAACAUCAUGGAUUCGCAUGUUUCUAUGAUCAAAGAUUUAUCGCUUAGAGAUGGACUCGCGUCUGAUUAGCUAGUUGGUAAGGUAACGGCUUACCAAGGCGACGAUCAGUAGCCGGACUGAGAGGUUGAUCGGCCACAUUGGGACUGAGACACGGCCCAGACUCCUACGGGAGGCAGCAGUGGGGAAUAUUGCACAAUGGGGGAAACCCUGAUGCAGCGAUGCCGCGUGGAGGAAGAAGGUUUUCGGAUUGUAAACUCCUGUUGAAGAGGACGAUAAUGACGGUACUCUUUUAGAAAGCUCCGGCUAGCUACGUGCCAGCAGCCGCGGUAAUACGUAGGGAGCGAGCGUUGUCCGGAAUUACUGGGUGUAAAGGGAGCGUAGGCGGGAUGGCAAGUCAGAUGUGAAAACUAUGGGCUCAACCCAUAGACUGCAUUUGAAACUGUUGUUCUUGAGUGAGGUAGAGGUAAGCGGAAUUCCUGGUGUAGCGGUGAAAUGCGUAGAGAUCAGGAGGAACAUCGGUGGCGAAGGCGGCUUACUGGGCCUUUACUGACGCUGAGGCUCGAAAGCGUGGGGAGCAAACAGGAUUAGAUACCCUGGUAGUCCACGCCGUAAACGAUGAUUACUAGGUGUGGGGGGACUGACCCCUUCCGUGCCG
rnacentral:rRNA from 1 species